UGUCUAUGCCUUUCGGGGCAUUUCCUCCCUAGUCUUUGGCCGCGCUCGUAUCGUUCGGGCGCGGUUCUUUUUAUCUGCA
rnacentral:sRNA from 1 species